UCUCUUGGUGCUUAGAGGUCUUCGUCGUCUUUUCUUAGCUGAUCACCGACGGUACUUCCUUCUCCAAGAUAAUCCCCUUCUUGUAUUCAUUUUCCCAUUCAAGAAAAAUGAGCCAAUCUUCUUCUUCUUAGGACAACUCCUCCACCAGCUUCUCCUCUGGCGGCCCAAUCCGUGUUCUAGCACCUAUAGUCCCUUUACGAGCCGUCCAUGAUAAUGAAUCCC
rnacentral:lncRNA from 1 species